rnacentral:rRNA from 1 species
CCUACGGGUGGCAGCAGUGAGGAAUAUUGGUCAAUGGGCGCGAGCCUGAACCAGCCAAGUAGCGUGAAGGAUGACUGCCCUACGGGUUGUAAACCUCUUUUAUAAAGGAAUAAAGCGAGGCACGUGUGCCUUUAUGUAUGUCCCUUAUGAAUAAGGAUCGGCUAACUCCGUGCCCGCAGUCGCGGUAAUACGGAGGAUUCGAGCGUUAUCCGGAUUUAUUGGGUUUAAAGGGAGCGUAGAUGGGUUGUUAAGUCAGUUGUGAAAGUUUGGGGCUCCACCGUAAACUUGCACUUGAUACUGGCAGUCGUGAGUACAGGUGAGGUAGGCGGAAUUCGUGGUGUAGCGGUGAAAUGCAUAGAUAUCACGAAGAACUCCGAUUGCGAAGGCAGCUUACUAGACUGCCACUGACAUUGAGGCUCGAAAGUGUGGGUAUCGAACCGGAUUAGAUACCCUUGUAGUC